rnacentral:rRNA from 1 species
CGGAGGAAAAGAAACCAACAGGGAUUGCCUCAGUAACGGCGAGUGAAGCGGCAAAAGCUCAGAUUUGAAAUCUGGCGUCAUUUUGGCGUCCGAGUUGUAAUCUGUAGAGGAGUAUUCGAGUGUGGAUUUGGCUUAAGUUCCUUGGAACAGGACGUCAUAGAGGGUGAGAACCCCGUUAACGGCCUAUGUCUUAUGCUCAUGUGAAUCUCCUUCAACGAGUCGAGUUGUUUGGGAAUGCAGCUCUAAAUGGGUGGUAAAUUCCAUCUAAAGCUAAAUACUGGCAAGAGACCGAUAGCGCACAAGUAGAGUGAUCGAAAGAUGAAAAGAACUCUGAACAGAGAGUUAAAUAGUACGUGAAAUUGUUGAAAGGGAAGCACUUGCUACCAGACACGCCUGUAGUUGAUCAACCUUCAUUUUUGAUGGUGCACUCGGCUAUAGGUGGGUCAGCAUCAGUUACAACGGUGGGAUAAAGGCCUUGGGAAUGUAGCUUCCUUCGGGAAGUGUUAUAGCCCUUGGUGUAAUACCAUCUGAUGUGACUGAGGCCCGCGCUUCGGCGAGGAUGCUGGCAUAAUGGUCGUAAGUGACCCGUCUUGAAACACGGACCAAGGAGUCUAACAUCUAUGCGAGUGUUUGGGCGUCAAAACCCUUACGCGGAAUGAAAGUGAAUGAAGGUGGGAACCGCAAGGUGCACCAUCGACCGAUCCUGAUGUUUUCGGAUGGAUUUGAGUAGGAGCAUAGCUGUUGGGACCCGAAAGAUGGUGAACUAUGCCUGAAUAGGGUGAAGCCAGAGGAAACUCUGGUGGAGGCUCGCAGCGGUUCUGACGUGCAAAUCGAUCGUCAAAUUUGGGUAUAGGGGCGA